GCAAGUCGAACGGUAACAGGCCUUCGGGUGCUGACGAGUGGCGAACGGGUGAGUAAUGCAUCGGAACGUACCCAGAGGUGGGGGAUAACGCAGCGAAAGCUGUGCUAAUACCGCAUGUGAUCUGAGGAUGAAAGCGGGGGACCGAGCAGCAAUGUUUGGCCUCGCGCCUUUGGAGCGGCCGAUGUCGGAUUAGCUAGUUGGUGGGGUAAAGGCCUACCAAGGCGACGAUCCGUAGCUGGUCUGAGAGGACGACC
rnacentral:rRNA from 1 species